CUCACAGAUCUCUGUUCUAAGAUUAUUAUGUAUUUGGCCCAUUAAAAAUAGGCUUAAAAUGAUAAUUUAUCAUAGUACCCUUGAUCCAUUUCAAAUUUAGGAAUUCAAAAUUCUACAGCAAUAUGUGGCUAGGUUGACAUAAGGGAGCCUAAAAUACCAAGUAAUGUGUGACUGGUUUAAAUAUAAGGUUUCUGUUGCACUCAAGCCAAGAUGGGAGAAAUGAGGAGAGUCUGCGCUCAUCCUCCAUGAGAAUAGCCAUGGGACAUCGGAGCUGCGCUUUCAUCUCUCGUCUUAUUACGUUCAGAGAGCUUGCUCCAAGGUGCCUGCGGAGGACAAAGUAUUUCCAGAAUUGCGGAACAACCGAAAACAGAAAGAUUGUACUGGUUACAUCUGUUUACAACUUAAAUUUGGAUUAUAUGUAAUUGGGAUUUCAAAGGUUAGAUCUUUUCUGUCGAUAAGUAGAUUGUCCUCGUCUCCAUAAUUCAUUUUAUUGCCAUUUUUUCCACUGUAGAGAUUCAUUUCUUGUACAUUUUGUAAGUUUUUAAACUUAAAGCCCACCAUUGCAGGUUCUGGAUCAGGCUACUGCAUACAGGAUAUAUUGUUUGCUGUCCAUAAAUAAAUUUGCUGAAGUAUGA